ACGGAGGGUGCAAGCGUUAAUCGGAAUUACUGGGCGUAAAGCGCACGCAGGUGGCUAUGUAAGUCGGAUGUGAAAGCCCUGGGCUUAACCUGGGAACUGCAUUCGAAACUGCAUGGCUAGAGUAUGGGAGAGGGAAGUGGAAUUCCCGGUGUAGCGGUGUAAUGCGUAGAUAUCGGGAGGAACACCAGUGGCGAAGGCGGCUUCCUGGCCCAAUACUGACACUCAUGUGCGACAACGUGGGGAGCAAACAGGA
rnacentral:rRNA from 1 species